rnacentral:tRNA from 1 species
GCCGAGUUGGUGUAGUGGCUAUCAUCGUGGCUUGUCACGCCACGGACACGGGUUCGAGUCCCGUACUCGGCG